CAUCACUAUGCGUUAUGAAGAUGGAAGAAGCUUCAGAACAAGCAAAACUUGAAUAGACACCAGCCUGCAGUCUGUAUUGGUGUCUUCGGCACAGCAAACCAGCUUCCCAGAGGAGGGCUGGACCCUUUCCAAGCCAGGCUUCAGUAACAUGGGAAAUGGAAGGAACGAUAAGAAAGAAAACAGUGCUGAGAGCAGACUGUAGAAUACAGAUCUACAGAUAGUGUAGAUUCUGCUGGUACCAUGGAUGUUAAUGGCUCAUCAGGACAUCGUCCUCCUCCAGACCCAGCCAGAACCAAAUGUUGCUUCUUUUACAGGUUCAACUCUAAAUUUGUGAUCACUUACAGAAUCACUCCUGAGGUACAACACAGGAUUCAGCCUGCAAAAGAGACCUGGAAAUAGCACAAGAGGGAAGGAGACUGCCAAGGUCAUCGAACUGCAGAUCCCAACAACCGCAUCAGCUAACAGCCGCACUCAUCAAGAAGUGCAGACAGAAUGUGUUUCCCCAAACCUACACUGUUAAUGGUCAACACUGUCAACUUCUUGGAUGCAGAACUGUAUAGAGAAAGAGAAGAUCAAACCAAACAUCGCUUGAGAAUCUGGACCAUAAGGAACCACAACAGAAACUAAGACACGAAGAACCUCAACGCUUUUAAGGGACACUCCUCUAUAUGGCUGUCCAUUAACCCAAACUGAGAGGUCUCCUUUCUUAUAUGCUGGACACCAUCCAUUUCCUGUUCCUCAGGGUACUUGAAGGCUGAAGCAGCCCAAAUGAUGAUUUUUGCUGCCAGCUGGGGGCACUCAGCCCAGGCCUUGAGCUGGUUGUAGGUGACUGAAAUUUGAGCGCUACCAGGAGGAUCCUCCAUAAUUCCUCAUCCCAAACUGUGAACUGAAUUCAGUGUUCACCUCUGAACAGGGAUAAGAAAACCAGCCUGGAAAAUAAUACUCAUUUCAGUAAUGCUACCCACACUGCAUCCAACCUGAGAGUCUGAACAUCAGCAUCCAUGUGUUGACUGGUGGGACCUGCACUUGGGAUGUUGUGCAAACCCCAGACAGAUUGUGACAGAAGACUAGCAUACUUCAGAAACAUUUCUGCUGGUCCAGAUAGAAGUAGAAGCAGCUGGCAGAGACUCCGUGACAGAAAAGAACAGCACGUUAGGCAAUGCAGUGGAAAGGUAAAGGAACAUGGUCUUUCUUAGUAACUUUAAGUCAUAAUAGCAAAACAUAUUUUACAGGCGUGAACACCAAUUUAAUUCACAAGAAAUUCCAAUAAAAUAAGUAGUACCUAUUAAAUCAGCCAUUUAUUAUGUGACAUUGUCUUAUGUUUUGGAACAGUAUCCAUUAGUCUGCUGAAUACAGAGAUUAUAUUACUCUAUAAUAAAAUGUCAGGGUGAUAUAUUUUCUUUUAUCGAAAAUCUGAAUGUGCAUAUUGCUUUCCUUAUUACAAGGUGUAGUCAUUUUCUACGGAAAAUAAACAACCCUCCACAUGAGUUUGCAGCUGAAGCAUCCAUUACAGUUUUAUAUUCUUAUAGAAAUUUUCCAUUUCUCUGACAGGCUUUUGUUCCAGCUGCAUGCUAUGCAAUGGCUUCUCAAAGGAAAACCCAAAGUCUCUCACUGAAUUUAGCAUCAGCCUGGACCAAUCUUGCUCUUUUGCUAUCAUGUCCCAGUCUCUCUGAGUAAUACAGAGAAGUAAAUGGAGCUAGGUCUAACGUGUCAACAAGGAGGGUCCCUCAGCCUCCACAUCCCUUGUGCCAGUGCCUGUCCCCAGCCCAACUUCAGGUGCCCGAGCUCUCCCUCUCACAGAAAAGAAGCAGACAGUGCUGGCAGCUGCAUGUCACUUGUGGGCACAUUUCUCUAAGCAUCUCCUUCCUCUACAAGGUUGGCUGAAAUAAAAUCCCACCAACAACCACAGUAAUCCUUCAGGUUUUCUUCUACUUUUAAACCAAGCUGUAAUGUUACAGAGAAGUAUAGUAACGUAGGGCAGUUUGGGCUGGAAGGUACCUCAGGGGUCUCUGAUCCAUCCUCUGAGCAAGUCAUGUCCCUGCACAACUGUUCUCACUAUGAAGAAAUGUUUUCAGCGUAUGCCCAUUUUCUCUGAAUCUCCAACAAUGCACAGCUGUCCUUAGCCCACAACUCUGUCAAGGGCUCUUUUUUCCAGAUGCAGGACUGCUUUUGUCUCUGAUGAAUUUCAUGAGAUUCCAGUCAGCUCAUGAAUGCCUUCUGCAUGUCAAAGUGCCUCUUGAAGAGCAGAUCUUCCUUUGAGGGCAUUGAGUUAUGCCCCUCAGAAUGAGCCCAUUCACAAAUAUGAUGAAAGUGCCCUCAAACAGUUUGUUACCUGCCUCCAGGUAAGGUAUAAUGUGCUACCUCCUACCACUUGAGCCCAAUCAUUCAACUGCAUUUUCUACACUGUUUUCCGCUCAUCCAGACAUUCACAUCCUAACAGAAUACAAGGCUACUGUACAAAAAUCAAUCUACUCCUCUCCACUCAUCUACAGGGCAAUUGAGUUGCUCAAGCAUGGCAAAUCAUUGGUAAAUCUGUGCUGGCUGUUCCUAGUUACCUUCUUCUUCGUGUGACUAGAAAUGUGUUCCAAAAUUAAAUAAGCUUAAAAUAUAACAAUCAAUUCUUCCUCACACACACACACAAAUAGUAAAUGCCUCUCUCUUUUCAGAAAAGUAUUCUAGAAAUUAACCCCAUCCAUCAGGCACUACGUGGAAAUUACUGUUAUCAGCAGUUCCAGCUACAUCCUGAUUUUGAGCUUUGUAUUUUAGCUUGGGGUAUUUGUUACAACUUUUCUGCCUCUUCAAACCUCAUUCCUCAGCUUGUCUCCAGGCUGAAUACAAGUAAGCUCUUGCAGUGCCAUUGGGUUGUACUUCUCCAAAAUCAAGGACUUGGCAGGAACAGAUAUAAUCAUAUUUUCUCCUGAUGGGAAACAAGGUGCAAGAUGACAAGUGAAAAUUAGACCGUGCCCAGUAAUUGCUCCAGCAUAGGUCAGGAAUAAGGUUAUUCAAGGCAGGUGUCAGGACCUGGGCAUUCAUAAACCCACUAGAGUCUACCAGUAUAGGUGCAAGUCCUGGAAAGCCAGAUAGAUGAGAUAAGUCAGUACUGCAGACUGAGUGGGAGAAACACUUGAG
ensembl:lncRNA